rnacentral:rRNA from 1 species
UACGGGGGGGGGGCAAGCGUUUGUUCGGAAUUACUGGGCGUAAAGGGCUCGUAGGCGGCCAACUAAGUCCGACGUGAAAUCCCCAGGCUUAACCUGGGAACUGCGUCGGAUACUGGAUGGCUUGAAUCCGGGAGAGGGAUGCGGAAUUCCAGGUGUAGCGGUGAAAUGCGUAGAUAUCUGGAGGAACACCGGUGGCGAAGGCGGCAUCCUGGACCGGCAUUGACGCUGAUGAGCGAAAGCCAGGGGAGCAAAACGGG